rnacentral:rRNA from 1 species
GGUUGAUCCUGCCAGUAGUCAUAUGCUUGUCUAAAAGAUUAAGCCAUGCAUGUGUAAGUGUAAAUCGUUUACAGUGGGACUGCAGAAGGCUCAUUAAAUCAGUUAUAGUUUAUUUGAUGGUUUCUUUUUUACUACUUGGAUAACCGUAGUAAUUCUAGAGCUAAUACAUGCAUUAAAAUCCCGACUAUAGGGGUCAAACCUUUGUGGAAAGGAUGUAUUUAUUAGAUUAAAAACCAAUAAGGCGUGUAGCAAUAUGCGUCUUUUACAUUGGUGAUUCAUAAUAACUCGUUUU